AGCGACAGCGCGACAGAGAGAAACAAGUUGAGAAGAUACGCACCAACAAAUUCUUGCAGUUGACUGAUGCUGAGAAGGCAAAAUUGGACGAGCCACGAUGCUUCCUCUGCGGCGCGCGACUACCGAAGAAGCCGUUCGAGUACAACCAAUACAAGUUCUGCAGCAUUGGAUGCCUGCAAAACCAUAGGAACGUUAGGCCGCUGAAAAUGAGCGCGUAAUGAACACUGCCACUAGUGCUUCUCGUUUUGAAAUAUUCAAAAUACUAGAUAAUUUUCUGUUGAUAAGGAGUCGUCCAUUAAUUACGUGAUAUUUUUUAGCAACUUUUGAACCCCCCUUCUCCCCAAUGAUACAUAACGAGAUUUUAAAUUAACCCCUUACCCAAAAUCAUGUAUAUUUUAUACGUUACCACUUUCCAUCAGGUGGACCGUCAGCUUGUUUGCCAUUCUAAGUUGUAAAAAAAAUGGUCAUGCGCUGCUUUUCGGCUUAAAAAUUGCGCGUUCAAUGGGAAAGUAAAUACACGUGGUAUCUUACUACAUCCUCCCACCUUCUUUGUGGUAUUUUGUAAUUUUUCCAAAUCCUCCUCCUCCUUCCCCGUUUGAACCUCAUGAAUUUAGAUAAAUAUAUUUUAGAAAUAAUAGAAUUUAUAGCCUUAUUUGCGUGCCAUCGUGCGAUUAUUUCUUGUAAUCGUUUAUAUUUAUAAUAAGUUUACUAUUGUAAUCUUUUGGAGGAAACAAUAAAGAGUAUCUAUCUAUCUAAUGGACGACCCUUAUAUAUAACAGGUGCACUUUUUUUAUGGGUGAUGUGGUAUCUAACCCCGCCCGCGCUAUCAUUAUACGUUGGCGGGACACCAGUGAGGGAUGAUAGGUGACGAUGGAAGCAGGUCAGUUAGCGUAACGAAUUUCACUAGAAUUAACCACGAUGGUUUCCAGGGGAAACCGCGUAGAGGUCGACCUGAUUUUUUUUUUAUUGCUAGUUACUAUGGUCAGUUAGACCCCAUUACUAACAAUGCCUUUUCCCCCCACCGGUGCACUUUUGCCUUCUUAUUCAUAAGAACUAAAACCUACAAAUCUAUUUUAACUUUUACACGGUUUUGUCACAUUCUUUCAAAUUGGAAAUUUAGUGUAAAAGAAAGAGAAAGAACAACUCAAUUCAAUAGUUAAAGUAGCUUUAUGAGAGAUUUGACGCUUUUAUGAAUGAGAAGGUAAAAGUUUACAAUAAAGAGGAAAUGUAACAAUACAAUAAUGACUUUAAAAGUCAUGUACAUAUAGUGUUUUAAAUAAUGUUUUACACAACGCACUUGCUUUAAAGUGAGUGAAAUAAAUAGUUGAUUAAU
rnacentral:lncRNA from 1 species